ensembl:lncRNA
CCAGAGCAUCAGGUUUACAUGUAAAGUCAAUGGAAAAGCGCGAUGACCCGCGAUUGCGGGUCCCGCGAAAAUUCGGAAGCAGAUUUGCGUCGCGAAAACGCCAAAAUGCGUGAAACGCGCGUCAGUGUACCGCGUCCGACGCGUUUGACUCGCGAAAAAAACCACGCGUGUCAGUUUUUGUGUUGCAUUUUGUGCAUACGCGCGUUUCGCCUCUUCUGCACGAGUUGGAAAAUCUGAACUCCAGCGUCAAAUCACGCCGCGACAACCAAUCAGGAGCCUGGUGACGUUGCUCUGACCUAGGUCAAAGGGGCAGAUCCAGCCAAAGCCCUUCAUUCUUCAUUCAGUAUGGAGGAAAAGCUCAUCAGUGCUGUGGCUAAUCAUCCAGAGCUAUAUGAUGCUAGCUGCUACUUCUACCGAGACAGGAAUAAAAAGGACCGAGCUUGGAGGCACAUAAGUGAGGAGAUCGGGCAACCUGAGCCAACUGAUUCUGCAGCAGAGCAUCCCCUGUUGCUUCUCCUGGCUCCCCAGUCCCUGAGCUCCUGCUGCUGCACCCACAGGCCCAGAGAGGAGGACAGCUCCGAGGCAGAUGAGGGACUGGUCCCAGGACGGUCCAUCGGCGGUGGAGCUGGCCAUCCUGGAGUCCCUGAAGAGGCCACGCCAGUCUCCAAUGGAGCAUUUCCUCCUCAGCCUUGUUCCUGCUCUGGAGAGCAGCUGGGUCCUUUUGUAUUCCUGUCUCUCUGUAAAUGGUUAUAUUUUAUAUAUUUAUGUUUAAUGUUUUUCUGUUUGAGAAUUUUAAUAUUACUUCAAAUAAAUUUUUAUUAUGACUAAUGUCUCAGUUCUACUACACAGCAAAUGUUGGCACACGGCUUGACACAUGUAGAAUUUAU